GACGGAGGGUGCUAGCGUUGUUCGGAAUGACUGGGCGUAAAGGGCGCGUAGGCGGCUCGUGAAGUCGGGUGUGAAAGCCCGGGGCUCAACCCCGGAACGGCAUCCGAUACUGGCGGGCUUGAGACCGGGAGAGGAGGGUGGAAUACCCAGUGUAGAGGUGAAAUUCGUAGAUAUUGGGUGGAACACCGGUGGCGAAAGCGGCUCUCUGGCCCGGAUCUGACGCUGAGGUGCGAAAGCGUGGGGAGCAAACGGG
rnacentral:rRNA from 1 species